UACACUCCUGCGGGAGGCAGCAGUGGGGAAUUUUGGACAAUGGGCGAAAGCCUGAUCCAGCAAUGCCGCGUGAGUGAAGAAGGCCUUCGGGUUGUAAAGCUCUUUUGUCAGGGAAGAAACGGUGAGAGCUAAUAUCUUUUGCUAAUGACGGUACCUGAAGAAUAAGCACCGGCUAACUACGUGCCAGCAGCCGCGGUAAUACGUAGGGUGCAAGCGUUAAUCGGAAUUACUGGGCGUAAAGCGUGCGCAGGCGGUUUUGUAAGUCUGAUGUGAAAUCCCCGGGCUCAACCUGGGAAUUGCAUUGGAGACUGCAAGGCUAGAAUCUGGCAGAGGGGGGUAGAAUUCCACGUGUAGCAGUGAAAUGCGUAGAUAUGUGGAGGAACACCGAUGGCGAAGGCAGCCCCCUGGGUCAAGAUUGACGCUCAUGCACGAAAGCGUGGGGAGCAAACAGGAUUAGAAACCCCUGUAGUCC
rnacentral:rRNA from 1 species